rnacentral:tRNA from 1 species
GCACGCUUAGCUCAGUUGGUAGAGCAACUCGUUUACACCGAGUAGGUCGCAGGUUCGAGCCCUGCA